UGCGGGGUGGUGCAUGUUGGUUGCACACCGGGCUCAUAAUCCGGCCUACGCGGGUUCGAUUCCCGUCCCCGCCACCA
rnacentral:tRNA from 1 species